CUGAGCUAGCUGAGAAACAGCUGAAGGACUGCUGGAUUCACCGUGAACUGGUUGGAUUUUUACAUUUCGAAACAAUUUUCAGCGUCAAACGUUGAGAGGACAAAAUAACCAUUUACCCUCAGCACAUCCAAGGUUGCCAGAUCAACUCUGCUGCUCAAAUAAGGAAGCAACCAGCAGGACUCUGGAAAGCAGACUUCAUCCAUUCAGCCAAUCGGUCCUCUAGAGUGCAGAAAGGUCAUCAGAUGUGGUUCCACGUCGUCCGUUUCCAGCUCGCUGGGUUUCAUCCAGACCAGAG